CAGAAGAGGUGGCCAAGGAAAGGCUCAGUCCUCUCUGCUCCUCCCCUUCUGUGCCCAGGAAAUGUGACAAAACCAAAGUAACUGGAGGCAGGAAGUGAAUCGAGCAGAGUUAUGUCUAUGUAGGUAGAGAGACAGGAAACUGCAGGAUAGCUUCCAUGGCAGUUGAGAUCAGUGGGAUAACUGCUCUGAACGUGGGAUAUGCCUAAAAUGACAGAGUGAAUGUAAGAGCAUCUUCUGUCACAGCUGGAUAGUAAAGAUAAAUCUUUGAUGUUUAUUGAGCAUUAAAACUACAGUGAAAGCUCCAUACAGAAAGCAUUGAGGCAAUUAAUAUUCCUGCUUUCCUCUGCGUGGAAUGGAGUUCUAUGGUUUCCA